rnacentral:rRNA from 1 species
ACGACGCUGGCGGCGUGCCUAACACAUGCAAGUCGAGCGAGGAGAUCCUUCGGGAUGAUCCUAGCGGCGGACGGGUGAGUAACACGUGGGCAACCUGCCUCAUAGAGAGGAAUAGCCUUCCGAAAGGGAGAUUAAUACCUCAUAACAUUGCAGUUUCGCAUGGAACAGCAAUUAAAGGAGCAAUCCGCUAUGAGAUGGGCCCGCGGCGCAUUAGCUAGUUGGUGAGGUAACGGCUCACCAAGGCGACGAUGCGUAGCCGACCUGAGAGGGUGAUCGGCCACAUUGGGACUGAGACACGGCCCAGACUCCUACGGGAGGCAGCAGUGGGGAAUAUUGCACAAUGGGGGAAACCCUGAUGCAGCCAACGCCGCGUGAGUGAUGACGGCCUUCGGGUUGUAAAGCUCUGUCUUCAGGGACGAUAAUGACGGUACCUGAGGAGGAAGCCACGGCUAACUACGUGCCAGCAGCAGC